UACGGAGGGUGCAAGCGUUAUCCGGAUUCACUGGGUUUAAAGGGUGCGUAGGUGGGUCUGUAAGUCAGUGGUGAAAUCUCCAAGCUUAACUUGGAACUGCCGUUGAUACUAUAGAUCUUGAAUGUUGUGGAGGUGAGCGGAAUAUGUCAUGUAGCGGUGAAAUGCUUAGAUAUGACAUAGAACACCAAUUGCGAAGGCAGCUCACUACACAAAGAUUGACACUGAGGCACGAAAGCGUGGGGAUCAAACAGGA
rnacentral:rRNA from 1 species